AGUUCCCUGCUUUGCGCGUGAUGGUCUGGGGGCUCGCUUGAGCCAACAUUUCCGUCAAGCGGGCUGCUAGGUUGCGCCGUGUGCACGCCUCCGCUGUGAGGAAGCCUGACGCGCAAUCACCAAGGCGGUCCCACCUGCUUUAUGCAGGUUCAUGCGGCCUCCCCACACGGCAAAGCGGGGCCUUU
rnacentral:other from 1 species